GACGAACGCUGGCGGCGUGCUUAACACAUGCAAGUCGUACGGUAAGGCCCUUUCGGGGGUACACGAGUGGCGAACGGGUGAGUAACACGUGAGUAACCUGCCCACAACUUUGGGAUAACGCUAGGAAACUGGUGCUAAUACUGGAUAUGUGCUCCUGCUGCAUGGUGGGGGUUGGAAAGCUCCGGCGGUUGUGGAUGGACUCGCGGCCUAUCAGCUUGUUGGUGGGGUAGUGGCCUACCAAGGCGGCGACGGGUAGCCGGCCUGAGAGGGUGACCGGCCACACUGGGACUGAGAGACGGCCCAGACGCCUACGUGAGGCAGCAGUGGGGAAUAUUGCACAAUGGGCGCAAGCCGGAUGCAGCAACGCCGCGUGCGGGAUGACGGCCUUCUGGUUGUAAACCGCUUUCAGCAGGGACGAAGCUGUUUGUGACGGUACCUGCAGAAGAAGCACCGGCUAACUACGUG
rnacentral:rRNA from 1 species